GAACUAAUGAUACAGAAUAGGAAAGAAAUACAAGAAUAUAGUAUUUAAAAGUUCUAGAGUUUUUGAAUCCACUAGACCCUUCAUUUAGGUAUCCACUUGGUUGGUCUCUCUUUUAUACUCAACCUCCCUUUUUAGUAUAUGACACAAUCAAGCAUAGGCUAUGAAUAACUUGAAAAUAAUAGCCUAUCAAGUUUAUUCCCAUAUACUAAUUACAUACCUUUCCUUGCUCUCAAAUAAGCAU
rnacentral:lncRNA from 1 species